GGAAUUUUCCGCAAUGGGGGAAACCCUGACGCAGCAACGCCGCGUGGGUGAAGAAGGCUUUCGGGUCGUAAAGCCCUGUCAGGUGGGAAGAAACUGCCUGACGGUACCACCAGAGGAAGCACCGGCCAACUCCGUGCCAGCAGCCGCGGUAGUACGGAGGGUGCAAGCGUUGUUCGGAAUUAUUGGGCGUAAAGAGCGUGUAGGCGGCUUGGUAAGUCAGAUGUGAAAGCCCUGGGCUCAACCCAGGAAGUGCAUUUGAAACUACCAGACUUGAGUACGGGAGAGGAGGGGGGAAUUCCCGGUGUAGAGGUGAAAUUCGUAGAUAUCGGGAGGAAUACCGGUGGCGAAGGCGCCCCUCUGGACCGAUACUGACGCUGAGACGCGAAAGCGUGGGGAGCAAACAGGAUUAGAUACCCCAGUAGUC
rnacentral:rRNA from 1 species